UUUUUCUUUUUUUUUGUAGAUAAGGGGCCUUACCAUGUUGCCCAUGCUGGUAUCAAACUCCUGGGCUCAAGCAAUCCUCCCACCUCAGCCUCCUUCCCAACGCAUAAAUGGGGGUGACACCUCUGCGCAGUCCCCACUGUCUCCCUCAUUCUGUUUUACAACUACGGUCACAUAAAGUAACGCAGAGAGGCGAGCCCCGUUAUUCCCCCUUAAAACGUAGCCUGGAGCUUGCAGGACGCGGGCAGGUGGUAAAGAUUCAGAGGCCAAUUGAGAUCACACGAUUUUAAGCUAAUUCAGGUGAUUUUUAAGCUAAUCAAGGGCCCCUUUCACGCAGGUGACUUUAAACGAAUCGAGUUCUCCUUUCACAGAACUAAAAGGGGAGGUUAAUUUACACAAAUGCGCAGGCUACAGCCACCUGUCCUUCCUAGGGACUUCGGGCUGAAAAUGUCACCUCUCGCACCGUUAAUCCAAGCCCUGCAGGGCUGUUAGGAAGGGAAUUAGCAGCUGGGAUACCCCCAUCCUACAAUGAGGGGGGUUUAGCAAACCCUCCUGAAAUCCCAAGGCCACAGCUUCCUGCAGACGCUUAAGGAACAUGCCAAAUGCAACUGAUCUCCUGAAAAAUGCAAGCACUGCUGGUGAGGGCUGGGGUUCCGGGACGCUUUGCACACCACAGGUCACAGUUUGUGGGGGAGCUUCUCUGGGACCGGCUGACUCUUACCGUCCCCUGGACCCAGGGGGGCGCCGCUCGCAUCCUCCUGGCAUCUCCCAGGCCCCUGCCGCACUCACAGCUCCACCGCAGGGGCUCCCCAGGCUGGACUCAGACCCGCUGGAUCCCAUCCAGGCCCCAGUGUAGACUCCGAGACCCCUGGGAUGGACUCGAGGCCCCAAAGCAGACUUCAGGACCCUCAGAGCUGGACCUCCACCCUCCAAGGCAGCAUUCGGAACCCUCACGGCUGGACUCGAGGCCCAAGGCAGACAUGGGGACCCCUGGGAGGCGUCCGGGACCCCCAGGACAGGAUUCCAGCCCCCCGGCCAGACGUGGGGACUCCUGGGCGGUGUCCAGGACGCCUGGGGCUGGACCCAAGCCCCCAAGGCUAGAUGUGGGGGACCCCCAGGGCUGGACUCAAGCCCCCAAGGCAGACGAGGGGACCCACCUGGGCGGCGCCCGGGACCCCCCCAGAGCAGGUCUCCAGCCCCAGAGCAGAGGUGGGGACUCUGGCGGCGUCCGGGACCCCAGAGCAGGUCUCCAGCCCCCAGAACAGAGGUGGGGACUCCUGGGCGGCGUCCGGGACCCCCAGAGCAGGUCUCCAGCCCCCAGAGCAGAGGUGGGGACUCCUGGGCGGCGUCCGGGACCCCCAGAGCAGGUCUCCAGCCCCCAAGGCAGACGUGGGGACCCACCUGGGCGGUGUCUGGGACUCCCACGGGGGAACGCCAGUCUCCAAGGCAGACGUGAGGACCCCCGGGCGGCGUCCGGGACCCCCAGGGCUGCACUCGAGCCCCCAAAGCAGACAUGGGGCUCCCUGGGUGGCGUCCGGGACCCCCAGGGCUGGACUCAUGCCCCCAGGGCAGACGUGGGGACUCUGGCGGCGUCCGGGACCCCACGGCGGCACUCCAGGCUCCAGAGCAGACGUAGAGACCCCCGGGCGGUGUCCGGGACCCCAGGGCUGGACUCGAGCCCCCAAGGCAGACGUGGGGACCCCGGAGCGGCGUUCGGGAUCCCCGGAGAUUGAAGUCAAGCCCCCGAGGCGGCGUUCCGCACCCUCGCAAUCAGACUUGGACUCUACCCAGCGCGGAACGGGGUAGGACGGGAGCGGGAACGAGGCGGGUGAGGGCAGCGCCGCCGGGGCUGGGGGUCCUGGCGCCUACACGGCCGGCGGCUGCACCGGGCGCCGGGUCUGGCAGCAGCAGCCCACGCCU
ensembl:lncRNA